rnacentral:rRNA from 1 species
GGGGAAUCUUGCGCAAUGGGGGAAACCCUGACGCAGCGACGCCGCGUGCGGGAUGAAGGCCUUCGGGUCGUAAACCGCUUCCAGCAGGGACGAAAUUGACGGUACCUGCAGAAGAAGCCCCGGCCAACUACGUGCCAGCAGCCGCGGUAAUACGUAGGGGGCAAGCGUUGUCCGGAUUUAUUGGGCGUAAAGAGCUCGUAGGCGGCUUGGUAAGUCGGGUGUGAAAUCUCCACGCUCAACGUGGAGGGGCCACUCGAUACUGCCAUGGCUAGAGUCCGGUAGGGGAGUGUGGAAUUCCCGGUGUAGCGGUGAAAUGCGCAGAGAUCGGGAGGAACACCCGUAGCGAAGGCGGCACUCUGGGCCGGUACUGACGCUGAGGAGCGAAGGCGUGGGGAGCGAAC